rnacentral:lncRNA from 1 species
GCACAUAUUUCAGAUGGCAGGAGUGCAGGCAUAGGGAGCCAAGGUGUGGUUGAGUGGAUGGGAUCAUUUCUAUGGACACAGACAUCAUCUGUUCCCCCCAUUCCUUGGUUCCAACGGAAGCUUCUUCCAUCAGUGAUGGAUGAUGAAGAAGCUCCAUGGUUUUGGAAAUAUAUCUAAAAUGAAGAAGCUCCAUGGGUUUGGAAAUAUAUCUAAAUAAGCUCUCUUUAGAGCUUUGUGACCCUAUGAUGACGAAGACAAUUUAGAAGAAUUCAAACAGAGCUGAGAAAGUAUGUCUCUGCUUGGAUGAAG